GCUCGAAUGGCGAAAAUGGUAGACGCAGCUGCCUGCGGAGCAGUCGCUCGAAAGGGCGUCCGGGUUCGAAUCCCGGUUCGAGCA
rnacentral:tRNA from 1 species